rnacentral:rRNA from 1 species
CUACGGGAUGCUGCAGGGGUGAAUCUUUUACAAUGCACGAAAGUGUGAUAGAGCGAACCAAAGUGCUUAACUUUUUGUUAAGCUUUUGCCUGUUGUAAAUAUACAGGCGAAUAAGGACUGGGCAAGACCGGUGCCAGCCGCCGCGGUAAUACCGGCAGUUCAAGUUGCAACCAACAUUAUUGGGUCUAAAACAUCCGUAGCUUGUUUAACAAGUCUCUUGUGAAAUCUGAUAUCUCAAAUAUCAGGCGUGCAAGAGAUACUGUUAAGCUAGAGAUCGGUAGGUGUAAGAAGUACGCGAGGGUAGUGGUUAAAUACGUUAAUCUUUCGUGGACUCACAAUUAGCGAAGGCAUCUUACAAGAACGAAUCUGACAGUGAGGGAUGAAGGCCAGGGGCGCAAAACGGAUUAGAUACCCUAGUAGUC